rnacentral:rRNA from 1 species
CGGCAUUAUUCGAUAUUGAGGCGUAUAUGUGUCAUAUAAUCAUAACGUAAGGGAAAAUAAUGAUAUUACCUUACUAUUAGUGUCGUCCAAAACUGGUGCCAGAAGACUCGGUAAGGCCAGAGACGCAAACGUUAGUCGUCUUAAUCAGGCGUAAAGGGUUUGUAGGCUGCUUUGAAAGUUUUUUUGUUUAUCAUAGCCUUAUAAACUUAAAAUGAAUUAAAGCUAGAAUCAAAUAGAGGUUAAUUGAAUAAUACUUAGAGGAGGGCUUAUAUCCGGAGAUCCUAAGGGGAAUACUCGAGGCGAAAGCUUUUUAUCCACUACUGAUUGACGCUGAGAAACGAAGGUGAGGAUAGGAAAUAGGAUUAGAUACCCAGAUACCCCUCUCUGUCAACGAUGAAUGGUAGUUAUUAAGAGCAAAGCUCCUAGUUACGAUGUUAACACGAUAACCAUUCCGCCUUGUGAGUACGACUGCAAAGUUGAAAACAAAAAAAUUAGUCGGUCUCGGAGCAAACGAAGUGAAGCAUGUUAUUUAAUUCAAUAAUUCCGCA